AACUCUCGGGGCGCUCCCUAGCCCUGGGUGGGUGGAGCGGGGGAAGCGGAGUACGUUGGACCCGGCUCCGCCCUACCCCACGGGGCCGCCUGGAGAGGUGCUGGGAGCUGGGUGGAGCUUAGAGGAAUUAAACUUUGGCCCUGCGCCUCGUCCAGCCUAGGUUCCACCCUUUUCUGGGAACGCUGGAGUGCAGUGGCACCAUCUCGGCUCACUGCAACCUCUGGCUCCCAGGUUCAAGCGAUUCUCCUGCCUCAGCCCCCUGAGUAGCUGGGAUUACAGGCACGCGCCACCACUCCCAGUUUACACCCCGCCACUCCUGAGCACCGCACACCGGCUUCCUCCCAGUCCCUCAUCUGAGAACUCAUGAAGCCACUUGGAAUCCCUCUCUGCUUUGCCUGGCUCAUUCCAUGUCAAUUUCAGAUCUUCACUUCAGGUCAGCUCCAAGGAGGCUAUCCUUGCCCAUCUUCCUAAAAUAGAGCUCUCAAAACCUGGCUGUUUUCCUUCAGAGCACUGGCCUCCAAUUGCUCCGGUAGAUUGCAAAUGACCUGCUUUCUUUCUGUUCCCGGGCGUUUGGACCCCUGUCUUGGACCGCUGUCGGAUAGUAAAUCCCAAGUAAGGUACCUGCCGUCGGCAGAUUUGAGCUUUCUUCUUGGACACCUAAUACCCAGAGUCCUCCAGGCUCCGGUAGAUUGCAAAUGACCUGCUUUCUUUCUGUUCCCGGGCGGCAUCGGACCCGUCGGAGAGUAAAUCCCAAGUAAGGUACCUGCCGUUGGCAGAUUUGAGCUUUCUUCUUGGACACCUAAUACCCACAGUCCUCCAGGCUCCGGUAGAUUGCAAAUGACCUGCUUUCUUUCUGUUCCCGGGUGGCAUCGACCCGUCGGAGAGUAAAUCCCAAGUAAGGUACCUGCCGUUGGCAGAUUUGAGCUUUCUUCUUGGACACCUAAUACCCACAGUCCUCCAGUAAAUCCCAAGCAAGGUACCUGCCGUCAGCAGAUUUGAGCUUUCUUCUUGGACACCUAAUACCCACAGUCCUCCAGGCUCCGGUAGAUUGCAAAUGACCUGCUUUCUUUCUGUUCCCGGGCUGCGUUCGGACCCCUGUCGGAUAGUAACUCCCAAGUAAGGUACCUGCCGUCGGCAGAUUGGAGCUUUCUUCUUGGAGACCUAAUACCCACAGUCCUCCAGGCUCCGGUAGAUUGCAAAUGACCUGCUUUCUUUCUGUUCCCGGGCUGCGUUCGGACCCCUGUCGGAGAGUAAAUCCGAAGGCUGGUUGAAGGCUCCAUACAGUAUCUCUAUCUGCCUUGGACACUUCAGGCAUAUGUGCCAUAUAUGACAGAACAUCUUGCACAACAGUCUGAAUUUGCUGCAACCCUUCUCUUGCUCUGGGCCCCACUCAAAACCGGCAGACUUACAAAUUCCUUCGUAAAUGGGCCAGGGCAGCAUGGUAAAAUGUGCUGUAUAUUACCUCCUAAAACACCCGUCAAGUAUUUUUUUUUAACUCUUUCCUAGCAUAGGAGUACAUGAUGCAGCAAUUUGUUUUCAUUUGAAGGAGAUAACCAACAUGCCUCAGGCCACUGAACUCCUAGAAAUGUCACAUGCUCAACAUAUUAUCCAUAUAAUGGACUAGUUCUGCAUUUUAUGGGAUGUUGUGAUUAUCAAGACCCCUGAAGCCUUGCUUAUGACAGAACAGGAGAGUUGCCAUAGACCUGAGCUCAAAUCGUGAAGAUGUACUGCUGUCCCUGCCAUGUGAAAGCAAACACCUUCCAAAAGUGCCUGUAACCAAUACAGCAGGAAAAAAAGUAUAUUUUACAUAAAUAGCUGCAUCCCACAUGUCAAAAGCCAUUUUGAUUUACUCUAGUAAGAAUAACAUAUUUGAAACAGCAGCAGCAAUCAAUUAAAUAUUGAUAAUAAGCAAUGGAGAGAUAACAGGAAAUCACGUAGAAUAUAUCAUUGUUUGCCAAAUAUUCUGGCUCCUUUCCUACUGAGGAAUCAUACUUCCUUAACUGCAGUCUUGUCCACGUGACUUGCAAAUGAAAUGUGAACAAAAGUGACAUGCGUCACCUUUAGACAGAAGAUCUAAGAGCUGAUGUGUGCUUUGUUAUGAUGUAUUUUCCCUCUGCCAUAAGACUAAGCAAUGUUCCAAACAGAGGCUGAUCCACAGCCUCCAUCUGGAGUGAAGAUAAAAUGGAAAAGAGCUUCAGUCAAGCUGCAGUGGACACAUAGCAAGAAUAAGAAGUUAACUUUUGUUGGCCAGGCGUGGUGGCUCACGCCUGCAAUCCCAACACUUUGGGAGGCCAAGGCGGGAGGAUCACUUGAGGUCAGGAGUUCGAGACCAGCCUGGCCAACAUGGUAAAACACUGUCUCUACUAAAAAUACAAAAAUUAGCCAGGUGUGGUGGGGGGCACCUGUAAUCCCAGCUAUUCAGGAGGCCAAGGCUGGAGAAUCGCUUUUACUUGGGAGUCGGAGGUUGCAGUGAGCCGAGAUCAUGCCACUGCACCCCAGCCUGGGCAACAGAGCGACACUUUUGUUGUCUGCCACUGGGAUUUUUGAUGACACUACCAAAGCCUAAAAUAGCCUGACCCAACAUAUACAGUCUCAGAGAUUAGCAACAGUUGAGAGUCAGUGUUCAGCGAUCCUGAAACAGUCCCAAGUAUUUUCCUCUCCCAUGACAAUGGCCAUGGGUCUCUUAGGGCUUGAAGAAUGAUUUUUAGUAUAUAUUGCAGCAAUGUCAGUGGGCUCCAGGUCUGCAAAAUUGUUCAGCUCCCAGAACUGGGGGAAGGGCCAUGACUAUUAUGGUGAUCCAAAUUAGAAUUCUACUUACCUGAUAAUUUCUAAUUAUGUAGAUCAACAUAUAUUUUAGUAGGCUAUUUUAUUCCUAGAGAUACUACCAAAGACCCUCACAAGUCAAAAACAUUCAUUUUACCACUGUGGCCCUGCUGCCCAUGAAAGUAACUGUGCCCACUGUGUCUCUGGUGUUAAACACUGUCACUUGGUCUCUGAAAUAAGGAAGGCAAUUUAAAGAGUAGCAUUUCUUAUUGUCACCCCCAGCAGGCAGAGGAUACCCGCUACAAAGCUCCUAAAGGGAAAUGGAGCUCUCCUCCGCACAUUUUUUUUUUGUAAGAGAAGGUCUUACUCUGUCACGCAGGCUGGAGUGCACUGUCAUGAUGACAGCUCACUGUGGCCUUGACCUCCUGGGCUCAAGCCAUCCUUCCACUUCAACCUCCUGAGUAGCUGGGACUAGAGGCAUGCACCACCAUGCCUGGCUAAUUUUUUAAUUUUUUAUAGAGAUGGGGUCUCCCUACAUUGCCCAGGCUGGUCUCAAACUCUUAGGCUCAAGUGAUACUCUCGCCUUGGCCUCCCAAAGUGCUGGGAUUACAGGCCUGAGCCACCACACCCAGCCUGCACAUUUCUUAAAACCUCAUUAAAGGGAGUGUCCUCUGGGCCCUGAGGGACACAGUCAAGGGAUGAAUUUUUUUUAUAAUCUUAGUGUGAAGGUCCACAUAUGAUGCAAAAUAACAAUGGCUGCAUGAACGUGAUCCCAACUUGUUCCCACAAGGGUCAGGUGGCUAACUUCAUAGGAUAUUCUACCUGGCUCUGUCUGCCCUCCUACCUAGUGGUGAACAGAGUGCUGGCAAAUGUUUAACAACCAGAUCUCCAGAGCAAAAACAAAACAAAGGCCUGAUUUGUAGCAUCUGUCAGUAUCUGCAGUAUAAGCACUCCCAUUGUGUCCAGAAUUUAUUUCUUCUGGUGGAUUCUUGGUCUCACUGACUUCAAGAAUGAAGCCAGCCGGGCGCGGUGGCUCACGCCUGUAAUCCCAGCACUUUGGGAGGCUGAGGCGGGUGGAUCACGAGGUCAGAAGAUCGAGACCAUCCUGGCUAACACGGUGAAACCCCGUCUCUACUAAAAAUACAAAAAAUUAGCUGGGCGCCUGUAGUCCCAGCUACUAGGGAGGCUGAGGCAGGAGAAUGGCGUGAAUCCGGGAGGCGGAGGUUGCAGUGAGCUGAGAUCAGGCCACUGCAUUCCAGCCUGGGCAACAGAGCAAGACUCCAUCUCAAAGAAAAAAAGAAUAAAGCCACGGACCUCGCAGUGAGUGUUACAGUUCUUAAAGGUGGCGUGUCUGCAGUCGUUUGUUCCUCUCUGUGGGUUGGUGGUCUGGCUGACUAAGGAAAUGAAGCCGCAGGCCCUGGCAGUGAAUGCUACAGCUCUUCAAGUUGGUGCGGACCGAAAGACUGAGCAGCAGCAAGAUUUAUUAAUUAAGAGCGAAAGAACAAAGAUCUCCGGGCGUUGAAGUGGACCCUAGCGGGUUGCUGCUGCUGGCUCAGGUGGCCAGCUUUUAUUCCCUUAUUUGGCCCCCAUCCAUGUCCUGCUGAUUGGUCCAUUUUACAGUGUGCUGAUUGGUCCAUUUUACAGAGUGCUGACUGGUCCAUUUUUACAGAAUGCUGAUUGGCGCAUUUACAAUCCUCUAGCUAGACAUAGAGCGCUGAUUGGUGCAUUUACAAUCCUCUAGCUAGACAGAAAGUUCUCCAAGUCCCCACCCAACCCAGAAGCCCAGUUGGCUUCACCUCUCACCAUCAUGGCCAAUAUCAAGCUAUCAACAAUGUCAACGUGCAGCUGGGAAGAUGUGCAAUAGCACAUUUUACAGUAUUUCUACCAGACAGAUACAACAGACAGAAAUAACCUCAAGAGCACAGACACUAGUGAAUAAUUAGGAAGUGGUGAAGUUUAUUUGCCUUUGUCUUUAAUAUAAUCUAUUUAACUAUGUUUAUAUAACUUAAUUGUUAAUAAUGUCUGUAAUAACCGGCCCACAAAUUUCCUGAAAGUGUGACAAUCUGCUCUCAUACGCUGCUGGACCAGUUCCAGCACGCCACUGUUCCUGCCCCAGUUGUGGGAUCUGCUCUAACCUCCAGCUGCCCCACGCCUCAGCAUACAGUCACAGCGAAGGCAUGGUGGGCAAACUUCUGAGUUACAUGGCCACAGCGGUUUUUUGUUUGCUUGUUUGUUUUUGUAUGUUUGUUUGUUUAGAGACAGUUUGCUCUGUCCCCCAGGCUGGAGUGCAGUGGCGUAAUCGUGGCUCACUGCAGCCUCAAACUCCUGGGAUCAAGAGAUCUUCCCACCUCAGCUUCCCAAGGGGCUGGGACUACAGGCACAUACCAACACACCCAGUUAAUGUUUUUAAUUUUUUUUUAAGACAGAGUCUCACUCUGUCGCCCAGGCUGGAGUGCAGUGGCACGAUCUCUGCUCACUGCAAGCUCCGCCUCCCAGGUUCAUGCCAUUCUCCUGCCUCAGCCUCCCAGCUAGCUGGGACUACAGGUGCCCAUCACCACGCCUGGCUAAUUUUUUGUAUUUUUAGUAGAGACGGGGAUUCACCAUGUUAGCUAGAAUAGUCACGAUCUCCUGACCUCAUGAUCCGCCCGCCUCGGCCUCCCAAAGUGCUGGGAUUACAGGCGUGAGCCACCGUGCCCAGCCAAUUUUUUAAAAUUUUUUGAGGCCAGGAACAGCAGCUCCUGCCUGUAAUCCCAGCACUUUGGGAGGCCGAAGCAGGAGGAUCUCCUGAGCCUAGGAGUUCAAGACCUGCCUGGGCGAUAUAGGGAGACCCCAUUUCUACAAAAAAUUUAAAAAUUAGCAGGGUGUGGUGGUGCGUGCCUGUAGUCCCAGCUACUCGGGAGGCUGGGGUGGGAGGAUUACCUGAACUGGGAGGUGAAGGUUUCAGUGAGCUGAGAUCACACCACUGCACUCCAAUCUAGGUGAGAGACCUUGCUUCAAAAAAAAAAUUGAGCUCCUGGGCUCAAGCAAUCCUCCUGCCUUGGCCUCCCAAAGCACUGGGACUUUUACAGGCACCACCAGUUAUUACAGAACUCAAAAGCAACUGUGCACUGGACCACUCUGUAUUGUGUUCGGUGAGGCCAUGCCCGCGUAUAGAUACAGGAAUGCUGAGGAACAGCACUGAAGAGUGACCUAAACAGCAAUCACCAACUGCUGGUGUUUGGCUUUGUUCCUCAUAUGAAAGGAUUUGAAGCCCAGGGAGUAGGCUGGUUGAAUGAAAAAUAUUUGCUUGACACGAUAGUUGCUAUUUCUAGAUGAAUUCAGGGAACUAUGGGAGCCUCUCACAAGCAUGAAAAAUCCAAGUAUUCAGAUGGAAGUUGGGGCUCUUAUUUUCCAGCUUGGGCCUGUACCAGGGCUACAAGGACAUACAAUGCUAAAUCAAUUAAAAACCAAAAUCUACUCAAAACCAUUUAUUUCAAAAAAGUUCUGGAGAUGGAUGGUGGCGAUGGUUACACAGCAAUGUGAAUGUGCUUAAUGUCACUGAACUGUACGCUUAAAAAUGGUUAGGAUGGUAAAGUUUUUUUUUUUUUUCCUUAGGGGGAUCCUUUAUUUCAUUCACUUCCUCCUUACAAGGUGAAAUUUCAAUCUGUACAGGUUGUGUCUGCCAGUUCAGUCCACAGCUCAGAGUAUCACCUUGUCCUCAUUCCAUGGUAUAAGCUGUUGUGGGGGGACAGGUCUGAGGGUCGUGGAUUCACUGGACUGGAUGGGACAUGAUCCAGAACUCCACUCCGUUUGGCUUCCCAAGGAUCCCACCACCUCAUUCUAAUCAGUGAUCAUUGAGGAAAUGCAUUGUAUUCCUAUUCACUAUUUCAAAGAUCAGGCCUACCUCAUUGGCAUAUUAAGAAAGUUUUCUCAAGUAUAUUUAGUGUUUAUCAUUUUACUAUAGUUCUUCAAAUGUCUGACAUUCAUCCUUUCCCUACCUCUACAUUCCUUUCUUUUUCACAUUAUCUUUCUUGAUUGCUUUUUAAUAGAAAAACAAACAAAGACAUGGAUUUACUGUGCAUAUUAGCAGAUCCAUACUGGAAAAUGCAUGGAGGUUUCAUAUACACCACUUACAGGUUUCCAAAGCCACAAUUUCCUUCAUAUGUUCAAACUCUUCAGGAUGCAGAAAGGCAGUGAACUCCUCCGGAGUAGCUGUCAGGUCACCAUUGAGGUCUGCAGCUUUGAAUCUUCUCUCAUCACGUGGCAGCAUCUUUUUAAAGGUGUGAUGAUCUGAAGAAUCAUGAAACUCUGCGGGGUUUCCUAGGUUUUCAGCUCCUCAGUAGUGACAAAGCCAUACCCAUCAUUGUCGAUUCGAUCAACAAUCUUCCCUAGCCUCUCCUUGCUCUCGUCCGGGGUGAGCUCGUCGAAGUUCUUGGAGUCCUCCUUGCCCAGGAAGGCCUCGUGGUCGUACUGGAAGCUCUGGUUGUCCUCAGGGGGCCGCUCGCCCAGCUCCGAGUCGGGCCGCACCACGCGCUCUUUGCGCACCGUGGGCUUGGCCCGCAGAACCCGCGGCGCCAGCACCAGCGCCAGCAGCAGCCCCAGGGCUAACCCCAGGCGGCCACCGCGCGCCAUCGUCCCGAGGAGAGGGCGGCCGGGAGGGAGACGCUGAGCGAGCGACAACAGCGGCAGCUCGGGAAUGGGGGCUCGGAGCGCGGCGGCCAAGUUUUAUGUUAUGUAUAUUUUACAAGUAAAAAAAUUUUUUCACCUCAGCCUGAACUGAACACUAGCUGACAGACGUUUUGAUUUCUUUGACCAUCACGGAAUCGUGGCCAAGCGCGGUGGCUCACAUCUGUAAUCCCAACACUUUGGGAGGUCAAGAUGGGCGGAUUGCUUGAAUCCAGGUGUUUGAGAUCAGCCUGGGCAACAUGACAAAACCCUGUUUCUAGUAAAAAUACAAAAAUUAACCAGGCUCAAGCCAUGACCAUGCACCAUUGCACUCCAGCCUAGGCGACAGAGCAGGACCCUGUCUCAAAAAAAAAAAAAAAAAAAAAAAAAAAAAAGAAGAAGAAAUCUCAGCAGGCUGAGAUGGAACUCAUUCUUCUCAUGAAGAACGUGGCAAGCAUUAUACAGAGGGGCCAUAGUCUGGAAAGCAGGAGAUGCUUACAGACAUAUAAGUUGUUUCCAGUGUUUUGCUCUUGGUACUCAUGGUUCCACUAUUUACAUCAACCUUUUGAGAAACAUAUUUAUACACUGUCUUAUACUUCCCUCCUUUGCUACAGAAUGAAUCUACUUGUAACCUACCAAAAAUUUACCCUGUCACAUUUCCCCAGCUGCUGGUUUAAAAAUAAAUAUCCUGGAUUUAAAGCCAAUUGUGUCUAACAGGUGCCACCAUCCAAGUGAGGAUUUCACUGUUCACAGGCAUUUGAGACACACCAGCGGCCGGCGGUUCUCACUGCUCUUCAUAUGGAGGCAACCAUAUAUGGGUAAGUCAUUUAGUCUCUUAGGUAGGCGAACUGAGGCCAAUCUCCCCACUUUUAGGGCUGUGAAACUGUUCUGUAUGAUACAAUAAUGGUGGAUAUGCGUCACUAUACAUUCGUCCAAAUCCACAGAAUGUACAACACCAAGAGUGAACCCUACUGUAAACUAUGGACUCUGAGUGACAAUGAUGCAUCAAAUAGGUUCAUCAGUUGUAAUAAAUGCACUGCUCUGGUGCAGAAUGUUGAUGAUGGAGGAGACAGGGGUACAUGGGAAUCUCCGUACCUUCCAUUCAAUUUUGCUAAAACUACUCUAAAAAAUAAAAUUAAAGAAAAAAAAAAGCUCCCCUCUUUCCCCAGUUUUACGAUUUAUUUAUGCUUUGUGAAAUGGAGUCUCACUCUUGACUCCCAGGCUGGAGUGCAGUGAUCUCAGCUCAAUGCAACCUCCACCUCCCGGGUUCAAGAGAUUCUCCUGCUUCAGCCUCCUGAGAGGCUGGGAUUACAGGCGCAUGGCACCAUGCCCAGCUAAUUUUUGUAUUUUUAGUAGAGAUGGGGUUUCACUAUGUUGGCCAGGCCAGUCUCGAGCUCCUGAACUCAAGUGAUCUACCGUACCCGGCCCCCAAUGUUAGUUUUUAAAUAAACGACUAUGUUUAAUUCACAUGCUAACAGGCACCUAGAGAAUACUUUCAAGUAAAAAGAUUAAUGAACCCACUUCGCAUUGAGUUAGCUGGUUGUUUUCUGCCAACCAGGUGUCCCUGCCUGGUCCACAGUUGACCAAGGAUCCCUGCAUCUGCCUCUAGCAACACCCAACACUGUAUGAAGGGCUGAGGGGGUCUGACAGUUCACGUCACUGACAUCCUCUCACUGGUAUUUCGAAUGCCAAGCCAGCCCUCAAAUCAAGUUCACUGGCCUCGACUGAGCUGCCAAGUAUUUCAUACAUGGGGAGGGGGGUUGGGGGGGGGGAGGGUAGGGGGAUCACACAGGUGCCAGGCAAUGAGUAAGAUUAUCCCAGCAACUUCUCCAUGCAGAGAGAAAUGUCUGCAGCUGCAACACUAUUUCUACUCCAGCCUUCUAGACUCCAUGUAGUUUGCCUUUGUUUGAAUGUUUCUAUUUAUCUGAAAUAACCAGAAAUCAUUUUUAUUAUUAUAU
rnacentral:lncRNA from 1 species